UACCGUAACUUCGGGAGAAGGUACGCCGAUGUGGGUGAUAGGACUUGCUCCUUAAGCUCGCGUCGGUCGAAGAUACUAGGUGGCUGCGACUGUUUAUUAAAAACACAGCACUCUGCAAACACGAAAGUGGACGUAUAGGGUGUGACGCCUGCCCGGUGCUUGAAGGUUAAUUGAUGGGGUUAGCGUAAGCGAAGCUCUUGAUCGAAGCCCAAGUAAACGGCGGCCGUAACAAUAACGGUCCUAAGGUAGCGAAAUUCCUUGUCGGGUAAGUUCCGACCUGCACGAAUGGCGUAACGAUGGCCACACUGUCUCCACCCGAGACUCAGUGAAAUUGAAAUCGCUGUGAAGAUGCAGCGUCCCCGCGGCUAGACGGAAAGACCCCGUGAACCUUUACUAUAGCUUCACACUGGACUUUGACAUUACUUGUGUAGGAUAGCUGGGAGGCUUUGAAACGUGGACGCCAGUUCAAGUGGAGCCAAGCUUGAAAUACCAGCCUGGUAAAGUUGAGGUUCUAACUCAGGUCCAUAAGCGGGAUCGAGGACACUGUGUGGUGGGUAGUUUGACUGGGGCGGUCUCCUCCCAAAGAGUAACGGAGGAGCACGAAGGUACCCUCAGCAUGGUCGGAAAUCAUGCAAUGAGUGCAAGCGCAUAAGGGUGCUUAACUGCGAGACAGACACGUCGAGCAGGUACGAAAGUAGGUGCUAGUGAUCCGGUGGUUCUGUAUGGAAGGGCCAUCGCUCAACGGAUAAAAGGUACUCCGGGGAUAACAGGCUGAUUCCUCCCAAGAGUUCACAUCGACGGGGGAGUUUGGCACCUCGAUGUCGGCUCAUCACAUCCUGGGGCUGAAGUCGGUCCCAAGGGUAUGGCUGUUCGCCAUUUAAAGUGGUACGCGAGCUGGGUUUAGAACGUCGUGAGACAGUUCGGUCCCUAUCUGCCGUGGGCGUUUGAGAAUUGAGAGGGGUUGCUCCUAGUACGAGAGGACCGGAGUGAACGAACCGCUGGUGUUCGGGUUGUCAUGCCAAUGGCAUUGCCCGGUAGCUACGUUCGGAACUGAUAAGCGCUGAAAGCAUCUAAGCGCGAAGCAGGCCUCGAGAUGAUUUCUCACUAGAGCUAUAAGCUCUCUGAAGGGCCGUUGG
rnacentral:rRNA from 1 species